GACAGAGGUGCCAAGCGUUAGGCGGAAUCACUGGGCUUAAAGCGUGUGUAGGCGGAUCGUUAAGUACCUUGUGAAAUCCCACGGCUCAACCGUGGAACUGCUCGGUAUACUGGCGGUCUUGAGCUGCUUAGGGGUCGUCGGAACAAACGGUGGAGCGGUGAAAUGCGCAGAUAUCAGGAGGAACACCAAUGGCGAAGGCAGCUCGCUGGAACGGUACUGACGCUGAGGCGCGAAAGCGUGGGGAGCGAACAGG
rnacentral:rRNA from 1 species